ACCAGCUGGAUGAGGGGACUGAGGCUUCAGUGUGUUAGUAGAACAGGUUAGUGAACUCAGGACCAGCUGGAUGAGGGGACUGAGGCUUCAGUGUGUUAGUAGAACAGGUUAGUGAACUCAGGACCAGCUGGAUGAGGGGACUGAGGCUUCAGUGUGUUAGUAGAACAGGUUAGUGAACUCAGGACCAGCUGGAUGAGGGGACUGAGGCUUCAGUGUGUUAGUAGAACAGGUUUGUGAACUCAGGACCAGCUGGAUGAGGGGACUGAGGCUUCAGUGUGUUAGUAGAACAGGUUAGUGAACUCAGGACCAGCUGGAUGAGGGGACUGAGGCUUCAGUGUGUUAGUAGAACAGGUUAGUGAACUCAGGACCAGCUGGAUGAGGGGACUGAGGCUUCAGUGUGUUAGUAGAACAGGUUAGUGAACUCAGGACCAGCUGGAUGAGGGGACUGAGGCUUCAGUGUGUUAGUAGAACAGGUUAGUGAACUCAGGACCAGCUGGAUGAGGGGACUGAGGCUUCAGUGUGUUAGUAGAACAGGUUAGUGAACUCAGGACCAGCUGGAUGAGGGGACUGAGGCUUCAGUGUGUUAGUAGAACAGGUUAGUGAACUCAGCCCCAGGACCAGCUGGAUGAGGGGACUGAGGCUUCAGUGUGUUAGUAGAACAGGUUAGUGAACUCAGCCCCAGGACCAGCUGGAUGAGGGGACUGAGGCUUCAGUGUGUUAGUAGA